GCCAGCCCUGCCGCCCCCGAGCGCCAGCAGCCCCUUCCGUCCCCCCGCUACACUCCGCGGGAGGGCCCCGUCACCCCAGAUGUGGCCUUGAGGAACACCCUGUACACACUGGCUGAGCAUCUCUGCCAGGAAGUGAGAUGGACAAGACACUGGGAGAGGAGAAGGUCACGAACAUCCCAAUAAUUUGAGGGACAAAUCUGGUUGGAGGAAUUUUCUUUUAUAGGAUUUGUGGAACUUUAAUUUAAAGUGUGUAAACUCUGAUGGUUCUAUCUUUUUUUCUGUGAGAAAUGACUUUAUACUCUCCUGGGAAUUUGAUAUGGUAAAAGAUUUGAUUCAUUUUGGGACCCUUGCAUCAACGUGCUUUGGGGAAGCGAUAGAAUCUACUCUCCUAAUCCAAUCAGCCUUUGGUAAGACAACCUUUAAAAUCCCCUUAAAAAUCAGAAAUUAAUGGUAAUAUAAAUAUUGCUUUUAGUCUCACUUUACGUGUUCUCUGUGUUAUUAUUUCAGUGUCACAUCAGCCCUUAACAUACAUUUAAAGCUUGUCUGUUGAGAAGAGCUUUUUGACACUGCCCCUUUUGUUAUUUCAACAUCCACAGAUGAAAUAGAAUGUUUAUGUGACUCUGGGAUUUGCACUUGUUCAUAUGCUAUGUAUAUACAAACACAUUUG